rnacentral:lncRNA from 1 species
CAUUUGCUAAUGGAAAUUUAAAACCACAGGAUAAGGUAAUACUGAAUUAUUGACCCCCUAAAAAUCAAUUGUCUACACUCCUGUAAUAUUAAGCUCAAGAAAUAUGUUGCCUUGCAUUCAAAUUAAAGGAACAACCCAGCUAUGACUCCAAUCAUCACAAAAUUUUGCUUUACUUACACACUCUUCUCAGAUGAGUCACAGAAUUUAGAAAGAUUGUUUUCUUGGGUUAAUCAAUGGUACCCAUUGAUUCUCCGAAGAACCACAGAAUACUUUGAAUGGACAGAUGAAGAGAAUACUUUGUCCACAUGCUCAGCAUUAGUUAUCACUUUUUGAGUGUAUAAUGUGCAUGUUGCAUAAUGUACACAUUGCAUGUGUUUCUAUGAAUUACAGAUAGCCUCUUCUUUCAUGGUAGCAGAUGAAUGGGAAAGGAAGCUUCUCAUGACUGACCAUAUUUUGUGAAAAUCUUCAUGUAAAGUCUCACAGUUUCUGAUCUAAAGAUGGACUCUAACUACAAAAAGUUCGUUAACCAGACUUUAGGCGAUUGGAGGAGAGGGAGAUUGUUUGUCAAAGCAGGACCAGCUGGGAUUCUCUGGCUGACUCCCAGGCGCAACUGUGAAGCAGCGGAUAUUGGGUGCUCUCCCACCUCGUCAGGAGCAGCGUUCUCCUGUCUGUUCCUGGCAUCUCACAGCAUCCUGUGCCCUGCUAAGGUGUUAACUGACAACUGACAGAUUUUACUAAGAGCCUAUUCUCCUUGGUAGCAUUUUCAUUUUAAAAGUUGGUUUAAAAACUUUGAAAAUCAAACCUCUUGAGAGUGAAGGCAUAGCAUUCCUUCAGUAUAGCCCAUAAAUAGAUCACCUCUCAUCUUUUAGGGAAGGAAGCAAACGUUCUCUUGACACCUGACAUUCCAUUAACUACCAUCCAGAGUUUACCAACUUCCAAGAAAUUUUUUCCACAAAGUGGUUCAUUGUCUCCCCUAAUAAUUCCCCAGUUGUUACAAAUGUAAUCUGGCUUUCAUCUUCUCUUUUCAGCUGCUCUCUUUAGAGACUGUCUUCAUCAAGUUCUAAUUGCUAAAUCUAAGGUCUUUGGUUCUAUUUAAUGCAGUACUCCUUGGGAGAGUUAUGUUGUAUCAAUGGUUACAGAUUCGAUUUGUUUAGUUGUCUGUCUGUCCAGCUUAAUGGUAAGUGUCUUUCUGUCUGAAUAGCUGCUUAUUUAUAUUCAUAUAAUAUGUGAAUCUUGCAUGAUGCUUAGCUCCUGACAGUACUAUCAGAUCUAUUGAAAACUGGAUGUUUUGGAAGCCCACUGUUGUUUUCACACUGGGACUAAAUACAGUGUUCCUGGAGUAAGGCAGGAAGUCCAUCCACUCGGGAACCCCUCAGUAAUGCUACCAUCUCACUCUUAAGAUUGGCUCUGAUUGGAAGAAUUUAAACAAGAAAGAACAGGGGGCCAGAAACAAGAAUCAAGCUUCAUAGAGGGUUGGUUGCAACAAGAAAGAGUAUGAAGGGCUAUUCUAGAAUGGCAGUGAGACAUUGUAUUUAUACUCCCCUCCAUCCCAGUGACAUAUAAAGGUAUCCACAAGCAUCCAUAACAGUGGAAAUGAAGGUGGCCUUAGUCAUCUUUAACAACAUCUCUAAGCAAGUGAAAUUCUGCUGAAGAGACUAGCAUAGAAUUUCAGCUUUGAAGACUUUUCAAAGUCUAUAGGGACAAAGACUACUGGGGGUUCUUUUC